AAGUCGUAACAAGGUUUCCGUAGGUGAACCUGCGGAAGGAUCAUUAACGUAUGUAUAUGUAAGUAAGAGUGAGUUAGUGGGGGUGGUUCAAGCCGCCCCUAUGAAGAUUUUAAAUACAAGUAGAAUAAUUUAUAAAUGAGGAUAACUUUUAACAAUGGAUCUCUAGGCUCUCGCAACGAUGAAGAACGUAGUGAAGUGCGAUAACUGGUGUGAAUUGCAUUACUUUGUGAAUCAUUGAGUCUUUGAACGCAAAUUGCACUGUAAGUAAAAUUACAGUAUACCUGUUUGAGUAUUGUGUAAUCACCCAUUCAAUUGGACAUGAGCUUUGUACUGAAAAGUACUUGCUUUAAAUGUAGUAUGUUGGUAGUACGGAGGUAUACCCCUUUGUAACAUGAGUUAUUGUGCGUAAAAGUGUCAAUGUAUCUUGUUAGGAAGUGGUGGUACGCCGUGCGAAGGCCUGAUGGUUUACAACAUUUUAUUCAUUCAAUCUCAAAUCAGGUAAGAGUACCCACUGAACUUAAGCAUAUCAGUAAGUGGAGGAAAAGAAACUAACUAGGAUUCCCUUAGUAACGGCGAGUGAAGCGGGAAGAGCUCGAAUUUGUAAUCCCCCUAUGUAGUAGGGUGAAUUGUAAUUGAUAGAAGCACUCUCGGGGCGCUGACCAUUGCACAAGUCCUUUGGAAUAAGGCAUCAUAGAGGGUGAGAAUCCCGUGCUUGGCAUUGCGUUGGUCCCCAUAUGAGGUGUAUUCAACGAGUCGGGUUGUUUGGGACUGCAGCCCUAAAUGGGUGGUAUACUCCAUCUAAAGCUAAAUAAUGGCGAGAGACCGAUAGCGAACAAGUACCGUGAGGGAAAGAUGAAAAGAACUUUGAAAAGAGAGUUAAAAGUGUGUGAAAUUGUUAAAAGGGAAGCGAUAGACAUCAGUGCAAUGCCAGUCGACCCGUGGUGGAUGCGUACGUUUGUUGAGCGGUUAAAGGCCAACGGUGUGCGGGUCCCCUAGUGUCGGCGGCAUGGUCAGCAUCAGUUUGUGGUGCGGGAUAGCAGGUGGGGAAGGUGCAUGCUGGCAACGGCAUGUUUAUAGCCCCACUGAGAGCCGUGCCGUGGACUGAGGAAAGCAGUGGGCCCUUGGGGCGUGCCUCCCGAAUGAGAGGGUGUGGUGCAGCGACUGCAGCAAUGCAUACGAUGUGCCGCAUCGCUUCUUUGGUGGCAGGCCACCAGCCUACUAAGGAUGCUGACGAAAUGGUGCCUACCGACC
rnacentral:rRNA from 1 species